GGCCAAUGAUGCAUAUCUAUUGCACGUAUUAUCAGAGUAAGAGAUGAUGAUACUAAUGAAUUGUCACUACCUCUGAGGCC
rfam:Cucumis sativus cultivar 9930 chromosome 6, whole genome shotgun sequence.